rnacentral:ncRNA from 1 species
UAUCUGGUUGAUUCUGCCAGUAGUCAUAUGCUUGUCUCAAAGAUUAAGCCAUGCAUGUCUAAGUAUAAGCAAUUUAUACGGUGAAACUGCGAAUGGCUCAUUAAAUCAGUUAUCGUUUAUUUGA